GCUGCCUCCUCUCAGUUCUCCACACCCACACACUUCACAUACCUUAUCCCUUCCACUGUCUCACCACCGCUCUCAGGGAAAAAGCCGCCGCCACCGUCCUCGGUGCUCCUGGCAGUUAGGGCGAAGGAGUCCCUAGGCAUGCUGCUGCUGCGCCAACGCCUCCGGCAUCCGCACCGUCGUGGGCAACGCCAAAUACAACGCCGGUGCCGCAUAUACGCGCGCGCACCGGUUGCCGCCUCGGCCUCGGUGCGCCCGGCCGCGGAGGAGGGGGAGGAGCAGGAGCAAUGGCGCAGGAGCCGACAACGUAGACGGAGGGAGAGGAGUAGCGCGAGGGGCGCAGACGGAGGGGUCGCCGGGGACGUUUGGCGUGCCACCACACAACGGUCCCGGGCCGCCGCGGGGAGGCAGAGAGGCGACACGGGAGAGGUGAGAGGAUAGCCGAACAACGAGCUCGCAGUCACAGGGUCACUAUGCGAGAGCACAUAUCCUCGCAUGGCAGGUUACAUGUAGCCCUAUAAAAUCAAAUUCAGCCCCAUGUUACCUGAUUUUCUGUGAAUGGAUUUUACUGCUUUUCAGUUUUGGACCCUGUGUAACUUGUUGUAUUUCUGGAGCAGUGCAGCGAGGAUGAGGCUAUGAAGUACGUCCAAUACUUAACCUACAACCAUCUAAUAUGCAAAUUUAAUAUAGUGGAAAAUGAAAAACAAAAAAAGUAUAAGAAGACCCAAUUCCUCUUUUAUGUGCACCUUGUGUGCGUAGACACUGGACUACAAUUGUAGCAACAAAGAGUAUAUCAAUUUAUCAGGUAAUAGAAAUAGUGCUACUUUUUUGGAUGCAGUCACAAAGAGAAGACUUUUUUUUUUGUGAUUAGAGAGGGUACUUUCUUACUUGCUGAUCACUGAAUGCGUGAGUGAUCAUUAUUAUGUUGGAUUGGUAGAUGUUGUUUGAUGCCAUAAAAAGGCUCUGUACCUGAAUCAACUAUAGAGUGCCCAAAGAAAGAAGAAAUAAACACUUUGAUAAUUUAGCACCAUUAAAAAAUCGAUGAACUAACCUUUUUUUUAAAGACUCUUCUGGGAUAUGUAGGUCGACGAUUGUACUGAGUUGGGGGUUCUCAAACAGUUUGACAUUUGGGGUCUGCAAAUCAUGACACAAUCCAGCAGUUGAGCAACAAUCGAGUGAUUGGGUUAUGAUCAUUACCUGUUGGGAGUGGUAGGGGCUAUACGAAGUCGUUCAACCCUCUUGGUGAGGCUUUUAGGUGAGGUCAGUACCAUGUGCAUUUGCCAAGGCUUCAUGGUACGAUUUCAGGUUUAGGUCGGAAAAGCAAGAGGAUCAAUCAAAUGGAUCACACUGGCCCAUGUUGGCAAAUAAGCAUGCACCUGCGGAGCAGUUCAUCGGCGUUGUGACGUCGUCGUACACGCAGUGCGGCGAUGGCGCGGGACAGUCUGGGUGGUGGCGGCAUGUAAAAGCCUCAUGAAGUUCAGACAAUCUGGGCGGCACCUUUGUUGGUGAAGAGCUCGGACGUGAAUGGCGCAGGGCAGGUCAGCUCGUCGCACCCGUCGUCGGGUCCAUCGUCGGCUGCGCAGGGCAGCGAUGGCACAGGUCAACCUGGACACCUGGAUGGCAACAAAGUUCAGACAGUCUGGGUGGUACCUGUAUUGGCGAAGAGCUCGUCGUUGCGGCCGUCGUCUGGUGCCUUGCCGUCUGCGCAGGGCAGCGAUGGCGCAGGUAAACCUGGACGUCUGGAUGACAAUAGAGUUCAGCUAGUCUGGGCGCUGCACCUGUGUCGCCGAAGAGCUUGUCGUUGCCGUCGUGGUCAGGUGCCUCUCCGGCUGCCCAGGGCAGCGAUGCCACGGGUUAACCUGUACGCCUGGAUGGCAACGUGGAACGGUGGAACGGCGGCGGCGGCGGGGGAAAAUAAAUUGGUUGCCGCUAAUUUAGCAACUUUCUUUCUAUAUUGUUGAACAAUGCAUGCGGAACGGACGUGUGGUUUCCUUUUGCGAUUGUUUUUUUCUCUCCAUAUAAAUACUAUUCAUCUAGGUCUGUUACCCAAAUGAAUUCAAUUUGCAUUAAUUUACUUUCAUAAUGCUACAGAAUAUAAUAGUUUGUAAUACUAUUCAUCUAGGUCUGCUACCCAAAUGAAUUCAAUUUGCAUUAAUAUACUUGGCAUAAUGUAACAGGAUGUAGUAGUUUGUAAUACUAUUCAUCUAGGUCUCUUUCAGAGUGUGGCCUUUUUUAUGUUCAUAUUACUUUAACUGAGCAAUGGGUGAACCAUAUGCAGCUUGGUGAGGCUUUUAGGUGAGGUCAGUACCAUGUGCAUUUGCCAAGGCUUCAUGGUACGAUUUCAGGUUUAGGUCGGAAAAGCAAGAGGAUCAAUCAAAUGGAUCACACUGGCCCAUGUUGGCAAAUAAGCAUGCACCUGCGGAGCAGUUCAUCGGCGUUGUGACGUCGUCGUACACGCAGUGCGGCGAUGGCGCGGGACAGUCUGGGUGGUGGCGGCAUGUAAAAGCCUCAUGAAGUUCAGACAAUCUGGGCGGCACCUUUGUUGGUGAAGAGCUCGGACGUGAAUGGCGCAGGGCAGGUCAGCUCGUCGCACCCGUCGUCGGGUCCAUCGUCGGCUGCGCAGGGCAGCGAUGGCACAGGUCAACCUGGACACCUGGAUGGCAACAAAGUUCAGACAGUCUGGGUGGUACCUGUAUUGGCGAAGAGCUCGUCGUUGCGGCCGUCGUCUGGUGCCUUGCCGUCUGCGCAGGGCAGCGAUGGCGCAGGUAAACCUGGACGUCUGGAUGACAAUAGAGUUCAGCUAGUCUGGGCGCUGCACCUGUGUCGCCGAAGAGCUUGUCGUUGCCGUCGUGGUCAGGUGCCUCUCCGGCUGCCCAGGGCAGCGAUGCCACGGGUUAACCUGUACGCCUGGAUGGCAACGUGGAACGGUGGAACGGCGGCGGCGGCGGGGGAAAAUAAAUUGGUUGCCGCUAAUUUAGCAACUUUCUUUCUAUAUUGUUGAACAAUGCAUGCGGAACGGACGUGUGGUUUCCUUUUGCGAUUGUUUUUUUCUCUCCAUAUAAAUUGGACGUGGGUUAUUUGAUUGUUUCCCUUGUGC